GGAGUAGGACAGAAAGGUAGAGCCAGGUCAUUCAAAGCAACAGAGGAUGCAUUUACCCCCAGGGAGAAGUGGCCUCCACAGAAUGGAAUUCUGUAUUCUCUGGACCCUCCAGAAUUCACAGCAACUCAGAAGCUAAAAAGAACCAUAACAAGAAGUGCUCCCAGUCAUUUACCUAGUGUUUCUAUUAGCCAGGCUCUGUCAUGGUGCUAAGUACGUGGAAGCCCAGGCAACUUCUUUACCAGGCGGAUGCUCAGAGCUUUACCCCUUUCUAACAGAUGGAGAUAACAAGGCACAGAGACACAACUUUCCCAAUAACAGCCAGAAUUUCGCUCCAAGCAAGGUGGCUCCAAAGCCCAUGCUCUUGGUUUUAUAUCCCUGAAGGCAAAGACUGCACGCUGACCCUAACCCCCUAGCCUCACUGUCACCCUGCUCCUGUUCCCUCCGGAGGCCAAGACUGCUGCAGUGGUUGGGGAGGAAAGGACAUAAGGACACAGACACUGAUGGUCCAGGUCAGAGCCAUAUGAACCCAAUUGCCCAGAAGACCCUCAAUAAGUGCACGAUGAGGGGAAAGGGCAGGGGUGGGGGGUCGGGUCUGAGGAAUGGGUCAAAUUCAUGGGCAGCUUUGAAGGAAUCUAGAAGUAGGAGUCAU
rnacentral:lncRNA from 1 species